CUAUGGCACGAAAAGAUACACACCGAUCCAAAUGGCUACGUCUGCAGUACUUCUCCGUAUUAUUUGCCCCAUUCGUUUUAUCGGCAAGUCUCGGAGAUGAAGUCAAGCCCAAUGAAAAGAGAAGAGCAUACAGCAGCAUGCGGCACGCACCUCAUGACGUCUGCCGGCCUGGUAUCGAUGAUAACAUGCCCUGUAAUGUAUUUGAAUAUGAAGUAAACUGCCCUGACAGAAGAGCUAGUUGCUGCGAGGGUGAAUGCGUGUGCGACUCAUUGCCCAGCGUGUGCACAGCCAGAAGAUUGGCGGCGACUGGAACGGUUGGAAGACGAGGCCGUGCUGGGGCUGGCCCUAACAGCUAUGACGACGGUGGCUCGAUCCCUCACCUGAACAAAUGCUUCAAGUCCUGCUCGAGCGAGUGCAUGUUCACAGAUUGUAAACGCCAAGGUUGCAAGCGCGAGUGCAUAGACGGCUGUUACCAGUUGUGUUCGCCGGCUCCGAACGGGCCACAAAGUUGAAAUUUCCUUUUGCCUACUACGCUACCACCUGGAUGUUCAACAUAAUAUGUAACAGCCUAAUAAAACACG